rnacentral:lncRNA from 1 species
CGGUGCUGGUCUUAAAGGUGUACCCCCUGUUUUUGGGGUACAUCCAGAACUUGGGUAAAAUUGUGUCUGUUUUAAUUAUGUUAUAUGUUUAUCUGAGGGGAGGAGACGUGGGGGUUGAAACAUGUAUCUAAUUGGCUGUUGUGUUAAUUAUGUGGGUGUAGCCUUUCAGAGGGCACCAUUGCAUAAAAGGAGACCCCUGUCAGUAAACAUCAGUUCUACUUGACCCUUCAAAACAUAGCCUCAUCUCGUUCUUGGAGGGGAUUUACUGUACCGUUACUUUGCCUCAUUUUACAGCAAUGCCAGAUUAUACACUUGGAUAUCGUGGAUGGGAAUAAGAACUCCAUUACUUUACAGCAGCUUGCCUAGAAAAGGACCUCUCCAACGGCAGAUACCCCUUUCCAGCUGGGUAGCCGUUACA